CAAGAAAUAGUUUAACUAGAAUAUCAGUUUUGGGUACUGAUGGUGUAGCUUGUUGCUUCUUUCUUGA
rnacentral:tRNA from 1 species